rnacentral:rRNA from 1 species
UACGAAGGGGGCUAGCGUUGCUCGGAAUCACUGGGCGUAAAGCGCACGUAGGCGGAUCGUUAAGUCAGGGGUGAAAUCCUGGAGCUCAACUCCAGAACUGCCUUUGAUACUGAGUAGCUUGAGUCCGGGAGAGGUGAGUGGAACUGCGAGUGUAGAGGUGAAAUUCGUAGAUAUUCGCAAGAACACCAGUGGCGAAGGCGGCUCACUGGCCCGGUACUGACGCUGAGGUGCGAAAGCGUGGGGAGCAAACAGG